rnacentral:lncRNA from 1 species
UCUUCCCUAAUUUUCGAGCUCUCUCUCCCUCCCUUCAUCUCUCUACUUUCCUCCAUUGUUAGCCAUUGAUGAAACCUUCGAAGCUUCACCCAAGUAUGCCAAACACAUAAAUCACUACUUAAAUCCUCCAUAAACACAUCUUAUCAACUUAAAUUCAAGAGAAUCCUUGAAGAUUGGUUUCAAGAAUAGUGAGAGAAAAUUUGGAUAAUUGGUGAAAACUUGGGUAAGUGAUCUCCAUAUUCAUAGAUAUAAUUUGUAUGAGUGUGUAUAUGAGUUUAUUUGAAGGAUUGGAGCAAGAAAUCACCCCCUCCCUUUUUCCUUCAAAUUUUCGAAAAAAUGGGUAUCUUACCCUUCAAAAAUUUUUCUUCUUCUUUCCUUGAAUUGAGGUGAGAAAAAUGAUCUAUGUGAUGUUUGGUAAUGAUU